rnacentral:lncRNA from 1 species
UCUGCUAAUUUUGGUAUGUAUUCUCUUACUUGAUUUACUAGUCCUAGAAAUGAUUAUAAUUUCUUUUUUGUAUCUAGUUGUUCAUUUGAGUUAAUUAUUUUUUGUACUAUGUGUGUUUGCAUUUUUAUUCCAUUUUUAUCUAUUUGUAUUCCUAAAAAUUCUAUUUGCUUUUUCAUUAUGUCUGCUUUCUUUUUACUUAGACUUAUGCCUGAAUAUUCUAUAAUAUGUAUAAAUUUUUCUAAUAAUCUUAUAUGUUCAUCUUGUGUUUUGGAAUAUAGUAAUAUAUCAUCAAUAUAUAUUUUUCUAAUAAUUUUAUAUGUUCAUCUUGUGUUUUGGAAUAUAGUAAUAUAUCAUCAAUAUAUACUACACAAUUUUCUAAUUGUUUAAAAUAGUUAU